rnacentral:rRNA from 1 species
UACGGAGGGUGCAAGCGUUAUCCGGAUUCACUGGGUUUAAAGGGUGCGUAGGUGGGCAAGUAAGUCAGUGGUGAAAUCUCCGGGCUUAACCCGGAAACUGCCAUUGAUACUAUUUGUCUUGAAUACUGUGGAGGUCAGCGGAAUAUGUCAUGUAGCGGUGAAAUGCUUAGAUAUGACAUAGAACACCAAUUGCGAAGGCAGCUUGCUACACUGUUAUUGACACUGAGGCACGAAAGCGUGGGGAUCAAACAGG